CAGCAGCCGCGGUAAUACGGAGGGUGCGAGCGUUAAUCGGAAUAACUGGGCGUAAAGGGCACGCAGGCGGUGACUUAAGUGAGGUGUGAAAGCCCCGGGCUUAACCUGGGAAUUGCAUUUCAUACUGGGUCGCUAGAGUACUUUAGGGAGGGGUAGAAUUCCACGUGUAGCGGUGAAAUGCGUAGAGAUGUGGAGGAAUACCGAAGGCGAAGGCAGCCCCUUGGGAAUGUACUGACGCUCAUGUGCGAAAGCGUGGGGAGCAAACAGGAUUAGAUACCCGCGUAGUCCCUGUCUCUUAUAC
rnacentral:rRNA from 1 species